GGGUGCGCUUAUGCUUGCAAGUCGAGCGAAGCUUUUCAGUAGUUUACUACAGAAAAUGACUGAGACGGGUGAGUAACGCGUGAGCAAUCUACCUUAGUUACAGGGAUAGCCCGAGGAAACUCGGAUUAAUACCUGAUAUUCUUUAUUUCUCGCAUGAGAAUAAAAGGAAAGGUCAGCCGAACUAAGAUGAGCUCGCGUUCUAUCAGCUAGUUGGUGAGGUAAAAGCUUACCAAGGCUACGACGGAUAGCUGGUCUGAGAGGACGAUCAGCCACACUGGGACUGAGACACGGCCCAGACUCCUACGGGAGGCUGCAGCAGGGAAUAUUGUGCAAUGAACGAAAGUUUGACACAGCGACACCGCGUGUGGGAUGACGGAUCUAGGUUUGUAAACCACUUUCAGGAGGGAAGAACAAUGACGGUUACCUCCACAAAGAAGCCCCCGGGCCAACUACGUGCCAGCAGCCGCGGUUAAUACGUAGGGGGCGAGCGUUUGUACCGGAUUUCAUUUGGGGCGUCAAAGAGCUCGUACGCGGUUCCAACAAGUCGGCCGUUGGAACAGUUCAGGGCUUCAAACCCUGAAAUGUCGAUCGAAAACU
rnacentral:rRNA from 1 species